GAUGAACGCUAGCGGCAGGCCUAACACAUGCAAGUCGAGGGGUAGAAGGAGCUUGCUCCUUUGAGACCGGCGCACGGGUGCGUAACGCGUAUGCAAUCUACCUUGUACAGGGGAAUAGCCCAGAGAAAUUUGGAUUAAUGCCCCAUAGUAUAUAACCUUCGCAUGUUGGUUAUAUUAAAGUUCCAACGGUACAAGAUGAGCAUGCGUCCCAUUAGUUAGUUGGUAAGGUAACGGCUUACCAAGACGAUGAUGGGUAGGGGUCCUGAGAGGGAGAUCCCCCACAGGGGGACUGGGACACGGACCAGACUCCUACGGGAGGCAGCAGUGAGGAAUAGUGGUCAAUGGUCGAAAGACUGAACCAGCCAUGCCGCGUGCAGGAAGACGGUCCUAUGGAUUGUAAACUGCUUUUAGACAGGAAGAAACCCUCCCACGUGUGGGAGCUUGACGGUACUGGAGGAAUAAGGAUCGGCUAACUCCGUG
rnacentral:rRNA from 1 species